ACUGCUCAGUAACACGUGGAUAACCUGCCCUUGGGUCCGGCAUAACCCCGGGAAACUGGGGAUAAUUCCGGAUAACGCAUAUAUGCUGGAAUGCUUUAUGCGUAAAAUGGAUUCGUCUGCCCAAGGAUGGGUCUGCGGCCUAUCAGGUAGUAGUGGGUGUAAUGUACCUACUAGCCAACAACGGGUACGGGUUGUGAGAGCAAGAGCCCGGAGAUGGAUUCUGAGACAUGAAUCCAGGCCCUACGGGGCGCAGCAGGCGCGAAAACUUUACAAUGCGGGAAACCGUGAUAAGGGGACACCGAGUGCUAGCAUCAUAUGCUGGCUGUCCAGGUGUGUAAACUACACCUGUUAGCAAGGGCCGGGCAAGACCGGUGCCAGCCGCCGCGGUAACACCGGCGGCCCGAGUGGUGAUCGUGAUUAUUGGGUCUAAAGGGUCCGUAGCCGGUUUGGUCAGUCCUCCGGGAAAUCUGAUAGCUUAACUAUUAGGCUUUCGGGGGAUACUGCCAGGCUUGGAACCGGGAGAGGUAAGAGGUACUACAGGGGUAGGAGUGAAAUCUUGUAAUCCCUGUGGGACCACCUGUGGCGAAGGCGUCUUACCAGAACGGGUUCGACGGUGAGGGACGAAAGCUGGGGGCACGAACCGGAUUAGAUACCCGGGUAGUCCCAGCCGUAAACGAUGCUCGCUAGGUGUCAGGCAUGGCGCGACCGUGUCUGGUGCCGCAGGGAAGCCGUGAAGCGAGCCACCUGGGAAGUACGGCCGCAAGGCUGAAACUUAAAGGAAUUGGCGGGGGAGCACA
rnacentral:rRNA from 1 species